rnacentral:misc_RNA from 1 species
UGCUAUGGAGCGUGGGCGUGG